UUGGUUUAACUUUAACUUCAGUUACCAAGAUCUCUAGGCAGCCAAGUGAGAAACAAAAUGCAUUAUAAUACCAGAGCAGUAUGUGAGCACUGAAAGAAGGAAUGGGACCCUGGCCAUAGUGGGAAUCCAGACCAGCUUGGCUGAGACAAUUUGACUCCUCAAAUCCAACAGAGCUGAGAACAGCCUCUUCAUGCAAGUCUGCUCCCCUCACACUGGCUCCUAGAAACGUACCACACUCACCGAUCUGAUGCCCUCUGAUGGGGAACUCUGAACCUCCUUCUUCCCUCUGUACCAUGGUGUAAAAUUGAAGAUUUUGUUUACUCCCCAAAUUUCGGGAUUACCCAAACCAGGGAUUGUUGAACUCAUGGGACAUCCCUCUUUGUGGUUGCUGGAUGGCAGCUGUCAGCCCCAGGGGUCACGUCCACAGCUCCUUCCAAGACCAGAGGUCCACUCUUGGAGACCAGCCUUCAGCAGCAGAUGGAAGGAAAUCACCAGAUCAUGGGUAAAGCUGGGAGGACUUGCUUUGCAGUGAUGGCAGGAUUGCGGCCUCUCAAGUUAAGAAAGAAAAGUGGUGUGAACCUGGAGUUAGUGAGACUUUGGUGACUCCCCAAAUUUCGGCCUUACCCAGUCCAGGGAUUGUUGAACUCGUAGGACGCCCCCCUUUGUGGUUGCUGGAUGGCAGAUGUCAGUCCUAGAGGUCACGUCCACAGAUAUUGGUUCUGGGUCCCUGGUCUCCAGGCAGAGGGGUGAAGACCAGGAUGAAAAAAAGAAGAGGCUGGUUUUCACACUUCACUUCUGAGCACAAGGACAUGUCACUGCUGUCUGUGUGGUUCCUGUCAUGGAAAGGCUGGCAUGGAGCCAAAGCUGGCUAGUCUGGGGGAUGGAGGGAGGAGCUGGCUCCUGCUGGUGUGUGCAGUCCCAAGGAGGGGGGCAUGGGAAGGCAUGUGCCCCCCAGAUUGGUGCAUGGCGCGGGGGGCAGAUACAGGCUGCCAACUGUGGGCUCUCCAUCCUUCUGCCCUCUCCUGAUGUCUUCACAGUCCAGCAGGCAGGACCUGGCAUGGGAGGGUUGGGCAAAGCAGGCAGGCUCAGUGCCACCACCACCACUCCCACCACCACCAGAGCCUUGUGCCAGCUGUGCCACCAUGGCAAGUUAUCCCCUCUGCCCAGCAGCGGAGGGGAUGGUGGCAGCAUGGAGUUGUGCCAUGUGUUCCUGCUGGCGUGGCAGUUCCCGCGUGGCAGUUCCAGUGGUGGUGGCACUGCUGAGUCUCUUGGCCAGUCCAUGGCAUGUCUCACCUACUGGACUGCGGAGGCUUCCAGGAGGAGCGCAACACAGAGGAGACCAAAGCAUACCACGGAGCAGCCCACAUGUACUCUCACACCCCACGGGCUCCACUUGGCUUCGCUCUGGCCGUGCCACCCACAGUUGCAGGGGCAAGGGGAGGCAUGGGUCCUACUUUUGCAUUUUCAAAAGAUGGUCACACUAGGAGGAAGUCAACAUCUGAACAAGCAGUAGUGACAGUAGUGAUGUGGAACCAGUCCACAGUCAAUCACAUUGCUUUCUUUCACAAUUGUUUUGAAGGCAGGAAUGUGAAUCCUCCUUCUUUCAACUAUCACCCUUCUUCCAGGCCCUCUCCCACUGCUUCAAGGAAAAUCUUAAGGAAAAUCAUCCUGUGUACCCAGACCUCCAACGAAGCAACUGAGAAGGCAAAUCCUCUGGUGGCUGGAAAUGAUUCAGGGUUGAUUGGAAUCACUCUCAUUUCUCACAUGUCCUUUUUCUGACAUGAAUGAUCACUAAAGGAACAGUGCGACCCGCUCCCUUUGUAACAAGAGGUUUGUGUCACACUUCCCCAUUGCAUUGUCACUGUGUGGAAAGCCACUACCUGUAUACAUGAUGCAAUAAUGAUCAGCCUCGUCCUGGGCUUGGACUCCAGUGAUGGUCAAUGUGGCCGUGCUACCAGACUUGGA